UGCUGCUAUUCAUCCUGGCUGGGUUCAAACAGAUAUGGGCAAUAGUGGAUCAUUGAAGGGAAGAAUUCAGGAUAUUUCUUUGAUUGGGAAGGAAAGGAAUUGUGUUGGUGAAGUUACAUCCAGCUGGGAGGUGGUGAUGGAGAUCUGACUGCAGUUAUCCCUCCUUCACAUCCAUCAGCAGCCCAGGAUCUACUUGUUCAUCUUGGUUGUCCUCUUUCCUCAGUUCCUGUUUUCAAUAAACUCAUUUAAUUGCUUCCCUAAA